AUUUUUACCCUUUUUCCACAACUGCUUGAAAGUUUUGAAACCUAAAAAUAUAAAGAAAAAAAAGUGCUUUCUUGGUUUGGCUGAAGCAGUUCUUUGUCUGUUGUGUGGACAGAGUGAAGAAGGGAAGAGAGUGUUCAAAUGGGAGAGAGAUUAGGAGGUUUUGCUAUGAAUCUUCUUGGUAUUUUACUUCCCAUGUGGGUUUUCUAUCCCUUCUUCCCAAUAAUUGAUGCCAGACCACUCCUUGCUGGGUUUUCAAUUUCUAGUUCUACCACUGUUUUUGCUUCUCACACACAACCCAUCUCUCUCAUUGUUGCCAAAAUGGAAGCUCAAUCCCCAGGAGUUGCAGAGGUUAAAGUAGUUCACCACCAAGAUUUGAACAAGAGAAUUCUUAUAGCAUUGAUUAUUUCUUCCACUCUUCUUGGAGUUAUACUGCUGUUCCUUUUGUGUUUUUGGAUAUAUCGUCGAAAAACGUCGAACAUUGAUGAUGGAAAAUGUCAAAAGAAUUUGGAGGCUUCGAAAGGGACGGCGCUAAAUCCCAUCAUAUCGAGAUUUAACUCUUUGAGGUUGGCUAACUUUAAAGGUUCGGUUUCCACCAUCGAUUAUAAACUGUUGGAAGCAGCAACUGAUAACUUUAGCAAAAGCAAUAUUUUGGGUGAAGGCGGUACGGGACAUGUUUACAAAGCUUGCUUCAAUGAUAAAUUGCUGGCAGCUGUGAAGAGAAUAGAAAAUGGAGGACCGGACGCUGAAAGAGAAUUCGAGAAUGAGGUGAACUGGUUGUGUAAAAUACGACAUCAAAAUGUAAUCAAACUCUUGGGGCACUGCAUUCAUGGCGAGACACGGUUCCUCGUUUAUGAGAUGAUGCAAAAUGGAUCUUUGGAGUCUCAAUUGCACGGACCAUCUCAUGGAUCGGCUUUAACUUGGCAUAUCCGGAUGAAGAUUGCUGUUGAUGUUGCAAGAGGUUUGGAAUAUCUUCAUGAGCAUCGAAAUCCUCCUGUUGUUCAUCGGGAUCUGAAAUCGUCGAAUAUCCUUCUAGAUUCAGACUUUAAUGCCAAGCUCUCUGACUUUGGCCUUACUGUAAACUUGGGAUCUCAAAAUAAAAACAUAAAGCUCUCGGGAACUUUAGGUUAUGUCGCCCCAGAAUACCUUUUAGACGGUAAACUAACAGAUAAAAGCGACGUCUAUGCGUUUGGAGUCGUUCUUUUAGAGCUUCUGACCGGGAAAAAGCCCGUCGAGAAGAUGGGACCUACUCAAUCCCAAUCUCUAGUUUCAUGGGCAAUCCCACAGCUCAGUGACAGAUCAAAGCUACCAAAAAUUGUCGAUCCUGUUAUAAGGGACACGAUGGAUUUGAAGCACUUAUACCAAGUUGCUGCUGUAGCUGUUUUAUGUGUACAAUCAGAACCGAGUUAUCGACCAUUAGUUACCGAUGUUUUGCAUUCUCUCAUCCCUCUUGUACCUGUAGAGCUUGGAGGAUCUCUAAGAAUUACAGAACCUCUGCAUCCAAAAGUGCCUUCAUCAACCCGCUGAAUGAUCGGAGUAAACUGAAUUCAUUGCUUAGUUCAGUCACAUAAUACACGGGUCGAAAGAAAAAAGAUGCUGUCUUUUGAAGAUUUACAAAUGAAAAAUAUGUUCUUGGGAGGCGGCAGCUACUCUUGCAAUCUUUAGCAGCUGUAAGAAAAAAAAGGGGAAAAAAAAAGAUUUUGUUUAUGAGCUUCAACUUCAACUCCUCAAACUUGAUAGACAAGCCUAUAUUUCACUACUUCAUAUGAUAUGAAGUUAUUAUUGUUCACCAUUGCCAAGUAGAAAAGAAACAAAAUAAUAAUGAAAUUUCAAUUUCAAUUUCAUGA